rnacentral:rRNA from 1 species
AGAGUUUGAUCAUGGCUCAGAUUGAACGCUGGCGGCAGGCUUAACACAUGCAAGUCGAGCGGAAACGAUGGUAGCUUGCUACCAGGCGUCGAGCGGCGGACGGGUGAGUAAUACUUAGGAAUCUACCUAGUAGUGGGGGAUAGCUCGGGGAAACUCGAAUUAAUACCGCAUACGACCUACGGGAGAAAGGGGGCAGUUUACUGCUCUCGCUAUUAGAUGAGCCUAAGUCGGAUUAGCUAGAUGGUGGGGUAAAGGCCUACCAUGGCGACGAUCUGUAGCUGGUCUGAGAGGAUGAUCAGCCACACCGGGACUGAGACACGGCCCGGACUCCUACGGGAGGCAGCAGUGGGGAAUAUUGGACAAUGGGGGAAACCCUGAUCCAGCCAUGCCGCGUGUGUGAAGAAGGCCUUUUGGUUGUAAAGCACUUUAAGCAGUGAAGAAGACUCCGUGGUUAAUACCCACGGACGAUGACAUUAGCUGCAGAAUAAGCACCGGCUAACUCUGUGCCAGCAGCCGCGGUAAUACAGAGGGUGCAAGCGUUAAUCGGAAUUACUGGGCGUAAAGGGAGCGUAGGUGGCUCGAUAAGUCAGAUGUGAAAUCCCCGGGCUCAACCUGGGAACUGCAUCUGAUACUGUUGAGCUAGAGUAUGUGAGAGGAAGGUAGAAUUCCAGGUGUAGCGGUGAAAUGCGUAGAGAUCUGGAGGAAUACCGAUGGCGAAGGCAGCCUUCUGGCAUAAUACUGACACUGAGGCUCGAAAGCGUGGGUAGCAAACAGGAUUAGAUACCCUGGUAGUCCACGCCGUAAACGAUGUCUACUAGUCGUUGGGUCCCUUGAGGACUUAGUGACGCAGCUAACGCAAUAAGUAGACCGCCUGGGGAGUACGGCCGCAAGGUUAAAACUCAAAUGAAUUGACGGGGGCCCGCACAAGCGGUGGAGCAUGUGGUUUAAUUCGAUGCAACGCGAAGAACCUUACCUGGUCUUGACAUAUCUAGAAUCCUGCAGAGAUGCGGGAGUGCCUUCGGGAAUUAGAAUACAGGUGCUGCAUGGCUGUCGUCAGCUCGUGUCGUGAGAUGUUGGGUUAAGUCCCGCAACGAGCGCAACCCUUGUCCUUAGUUACCAGCGGGUUAAGCCGGGAACUCUAAGGAUACUGCCAGUGACAAACUGGAGGAAGGCGGGGACGACGUCAAGUCAUCAUGGCCCUUACGACCAGGGCUACACACGUGCUACAAUGGUAGGUACAGAGGGCAGCUACACAGCGAUGUGAUGCGAAUCUCAAAAAGCCUAUCGUAGUCCAGAUUGGAGUCUGCAACUCGACUCCAUGAAGUAGGAAUCGCUAGUAAUCGCGGAUCAGAAUGCCGCGGUGAAUACGUUCCCGGGCCUUGUACACACCGCCCGUCACACCAUGGGAGUUGAUUGCACCAG